rnacentral:rRNA from 1 species
AAGGGCACCACAAGAACGCGUGGAGCAUGUGGCUUAAUUUGACUCAACGCGGGAAAUCUUACCGGGUCCGGACAUACUGAGGAUUGACAGGUUCUUAUAAGUUUUUAAAUUUUCAGUUUUUAAUUGGAAUUUAAUUAUAACUUAUAUUAAAUAUGCUAGUCCUUUCAUGAUUGUGUGAUAGGUGGUGCAUGGCCGUUCUUAGUUCGUGGAGUGAUCUGUCUGCUUAAUUGCGUUUCACUAAAUUAAUGGGCUUGUACAAGAUACUUUGUUUGCACACAGAGUUUGUUGCUUUAUAGCUUUCGGGUUGUACUGCACCUCUGUAGUUGCACGGUAUCUACAAACCUAGCCCAGAAGGCAACGAACGUGACCGCAACAUUUUGUUGCUUCUUCAAUUAUGUUUACUUUUGAAAUGUUUCGGCAUUUUAAUUUCUUUUCAUAAUUAAACUAGAAGCUAACUAAAUGGACCGCUGAAUCUUUUCUAAACAGAGGAAGGUUGCGGCAAUAACAGGUCUGUGAUGCCCUUAGAUGUUCCGGGCUGCACACGUGCUACAAUGAUUAUUGCAGUAAGCAUCUUUAUAUAGAUAUGGUAACUUUUAAAUUUAUUUAAAAGUUCUGCCAUUGAGGAUUUGGUCUCAAGGGGGCAUCCUGCUUCGGCAUGGAUUGCUUAUUACCUUCUGAACAUAUCCGCACAACCAACUUCGAAAGUAAGUUGAUAAUCAAUUCGAAGUAAUGAUUUCCUUUCGCACAUACUUAUGUUUUAUUGUUUAUAGUCUUAGUUGUUACAAUUUAUUGUACGCUUCGUUCUAUCGUAAAGCAUGUGCUCCAUUAUUUCAUGGUGGGGACAGACCAUUGUUAAUUGUUGGUCUCGGUCUCAACUAGGAAUGCCUUGUACGGGUCUUGGUUCAACAAACCACCCGGAAUAUGUCCCUGCCCUUUGUACACACCGCCCGUC